rnacentral:rRNA from 1 species
UACGUAGGGUGCGAGCGUUAAUCGGAAUUACUGGGCGUAAAGCGUGCGCAGGCGGUUCGUUGUGUCGGCGGUGAAAGCCCCGGGCUUAACCUGGGAAUGGCCGUUGAAACUGGCGAACUGGAGUGUGGCAGAGGGGGGUGGAAUUCCGCGUGUAGCAGUGAAAUGCGUAGGGAUGCGGAGGAACACCGAUGGCGAAGGCAGCCCCCUGGGCUAACACUGACGCUCAGGCACGAAAGCGUGGGGAGCAAACAGG